rnacentral:lncRNA from 1 species
GGAUUUUUGUUUUCUCGUUUGUAUUUCCCCGACAAAUGUGAUACUGAAAUAAUGCCAGAAAACCUAGGUUAUCAUGGUUACUACCCUGGGCAAACAAAAUGCGCUCAAGAUCAAAAGAAAAAUGAGGACUUAAAUUGUCGUAUGGUUAACAAUACAUAACAUGAUCAUACAUAUGUUUACACUUUCUUCGUACGACUACCUGAC